rnacentral:SRP_RNA from 1 species
CUGUGCUAAGUGGGGAACUAGCGGUGCCCUGCACUCGCAAUCCGCUCUAGCGAGACUGAAUUCCCCCUCGAGGCACGGCUCUGUGGGACUGCAUCAGUCUCUUCUGUGAGGAAGGUUGGGUCCCGCGCGGCGGUGGCCCGCGAACCUGGUCAGAUCCGGAAGGAAGCAGCCAUAAGUGGUACCCACUGGGUGUCGUGGGGUUGCCUGACCGGAGCAGAGAGGCUGCGUGCAAGCCGGAGAGUCGCAUGUCGACAGGGGGUGCACAG